rnacentral:lncRNA from 1 species
GGGAUGGAUUUUAUUGACAUGAUUGGUGACAGGGUGACAAUGGUGACAAACCCCUUAUGCUUGUGCAGACCCAAUGGUGUCCCGAUGAAGGGCCGCAGUGUGUUGUGGGGUCAGAAAAGAGCGGGCUUAGGUGGACGGAUGCCAAGGGCAGUCGCCAGCUCUCCAGGCAGGACCCAGUGAAGGAUGUCCUUCUGCAGCACAAACAGGGUGAAGAAGACAAGCUGCAGCAGGCCCAAGAACAGCAGAAACGCCCUGCGGAACAGAAGAAGGUCCAGUCAGAUCCAGGGGCGCGUUUGUCACAGCACUUUCCAUCCAGCCCUGGCAAAUGGCCCGUGGACAUGUGCCAUACAGGGAGCAAGGGAAUCUGUCGUAGGUCUGCGCAGGGGUGCCAAGACCGCCACCCCACCUGCUCUCCCACCCAGGACCCUAAGCAAUACUGAAGCAUUUUAUCUCCAAACAGUCAAAAGCUGCCUGAUGGUCUCUGGACCCCAGGGCGACUCACCG